rnacentral:rRNA from 1 species
AGCGAACGCUGGCGGCAGGCUUAACACAUGCAAGUCGAGCGGGCACUUUCGGGUGUCAGCGGCGGACGGGUGAGUAACGCGUGGGAACGUGCCCUCUGGUUCGGAAUAACUCAGGGAAACUUGAGCUAAUACCGGAUACGCCCUUUUGGGGAAAGGCUUGCUGCCGGAGGAUCGGCCCGCGUCUGAUUAGCUAGUUGGUGAGGUAACGGCUCACCAAGGCGACGAUCAGUAGCUGGUCUGAGAGGAUGAUCAGCCACACUGGGACCGAGACACGGCCCAGACUCCUACGGGAGGCAGCAGUGGGGAAUAUUGGACAAUGGGCGCAAGCCUGAUCCAGCCAUGCCGCGUGAGUGAUGAAGGCCUUAGGGUUGUAAAGCUCUUUUAUCCGGGACGAUAAUGACGGUACCGGAGGAAUAAGCCCCGGCUAACUUCGUG